GUAUUACUAGGAAUUCCCUUCAAGCACUUUACGAAACACAUUUUGGGGGGCUUAUGUGAAGUGUUUGGGGGAACUCUCGGUGUAAC
rfam:Hordeum vulgare subsp. vulgare, WGS project CAJW01000000 data, contig: morex_contig_1580790